AGUUGGCCAGGUUUCUAAAACUGUUUUUGAUAUCAGUAUUUAUAAUACUGUAUUUUCCCAUGUUAUGUAGAAUCAGCCAAAGAAUCACCUGAUGAAGACAUGUCUGGAGGACCAACUGUCAGACGAGAGUCUGAGUUCGUUCCGCAGAUGACCCCGACUGAAGAUGAGUGCAAAGAAGCAAUCUCACUGAUGAAACAUUCAGCUGAUGAGGAGACUGUCACGAAGAAAAUGAAACUGACGUUUGUCUAUCGCCGCAACAUGGUCCUUGACUCCCAGCAGUCGCGCAACAUACUGUCCGACUUUUCACGUUUUAAAGACGUCAACGGCUUGCCCAGGAUUUCGUUUUGAUGUUUGGAGAGGAUACCUCAAGCAAGCUUCUGGAGAGGUGGCCAGUCAUGUUCAAGAAGAAGAUUAUCCAACAAUGCAGAAAGCUUCUAUCCACAAGUGAGCUUGAAGAACUCUUGCUGGCAGCUGAUCCUCCUGUGGAUGGCACUGAUGUUGAUGUUGACUUUGUCUAGAACAAACAUUCAAGAGCAUCUCGAUGCCAUCACCACCAGAGCUCGACCCUUUCUCCUGACUGUUGGAGUUGAGAAGAAUGCAAUCCACCGGUUCUUCAUCAUUCUUGACAAGAAUGCCAUACCUUGCAGGUCAACCUCUUCUCCUUUGAUAAACUGUUAAAGGCUCAUUUUGUGUUUGGCACAUCCUACAACAGCAUGCUCCACAACAUGUACACUUUCAUCCAAACCACAGUGUACAACAUUGAUGUCAGCAAGGUCAAGGAAAGCCCUUGUGUCUCUGAAGUUAGGGCGAGGUUGCUUCAUUAGUGCUCCUCUAUCAUGCAGUGUUU